AUUGAACGCUGGCGGCAGGCCUAACACAUGCAAGUCGAACGAGUGGCGGACGGGUGAGUAAUGUCUGGGAAACUGCCUGAUGGAGGGGGAUAACUACUGGAAACGGUAGCUAAUACCGCAUACCAUCGGAUGAGCCCAGAUGGGUUUAGCUAGUUGGUGGGGUAAAGGCUAACCCAGGCGACGAUCCCUAGCUGGUCUGAGAGGAUGACCAGCCACACUGGAACUGAGACACGGUCCAGACUCCUUCGGGAUGCAGCAGUGGGGAAUAUUGCACAAUGGGCGAAAGCCUGAUGCAGCCAUGCCGCGUGUAUGAUGAAGGCCUUCGGGUUGUAAAGUACUUUCAGCGGGGAGGCGUUACCCGCAGAAGAAGCACCGGCUAACUACGUGCCAGCAGCCGCGGUAAUAC
rnacentral:rRNA from 1 species